UACAGAGGGGGCAAGCGUUAUUCGGAAUUAUUGGGCGUAAAGGGCGCGUAGGCGGCCAUUCAAGUGACGGGUGAAAGCCCUCGGCUUAACCGAGGAACUGCCUGUCAGACUGGAUGGCUUGAGACCGGGAGAGGUGAGUGGAAUUCCCAGUGUAGCGGUGAAAUGCGUAGAUAUUGGGAGGAACACCAGUGGCGAAGGCGGCUCACUGGACUGGAACUGACGCUGAGGCGCGAAAGCGUGGGGAGCAAACAGG
rnacentral:rRNA from 1 species